GAUAACGACCAUAUCACGAUGAAACUACCAGUUCUCGUCUGAUCACUGAAGUCAAGCAUCGUUGAGCGUGGUUAGUACUUGGAUGGGUGGUGACCGCUUGGGAACACCACGUGUCGUUAUCU